GAGAAGAACGCAGCAAAAUGCGAUAAGUAAUGUGAAUUGCAGAAUUCAGUGAAUCAUCGAAUCUUUGAACGCACAUUGCGCCCGCCAGUAUUCUGGCGGGCAUGCCUGUUCGAGCGUCAUUUCAACCCUCAAGCCCUCGGGUUUGGUGUUGGGGAUCGGCGAGCCUUUCUGGCAAGCCGGCCCCGAAAUCUAGUGGCGGUCUCACUGCAGCCUCCAUUGCGUAGUAGUAAAACCCUCGCAACUGGAACGCGGCGCGGCCAAGCCGUUAAACCCCCAACUUCUGAAUGUUGACCUCGGAUCAGGUAGGAAUACCCGCUGAACUUAAGCAUAUCAAUAAGCGGAGGA
rnacentral:misc_RNA from 1 species